rnacentral:rRNA from 1 species
UUCCGGUUGAUCCUGCCGGAGGCUACCGCUAUUGGAGUUCGAUUAAGCCAUGCGAGUCGAGAGUCUUAGGGACUCGGCGCACCGCUCAGUAACACGUGGGUAACCUGCCCUAUGCUGGGGGAUAACCUCGGGAAACUGAGAAUAAUACCCCAUAGUUCACCACGCCUGGAACGGUGGGUGGACCAAAGCUCCGGCGGCAUAGGAUGGGCCUGCGACGUAUCAGGUUGUAGGGGGUGUAACGUACCCUCUAGCCAUCAACGCGUACGGGUGUUGGGAGACAUAGCCCGGAGAUGGAUUCUGAGACACGAAUCCAGACCCUACGGGGUGCAGCAGGCGCGAAAACUUGGCAAUGCGAGCAAUCGUGACCAGGGAACUCCAAGUGGCUGGGGUAAUACCCAGUUUUUUCUUGACUCUUCAAAGGUCUUGGAAUAAGGGGUGGGUAAGGACGGUGCCAGCCGCCGCGGUAAUACCGGCGCCUCAAGUGGUAGUCGCUUUUAUUGGGCCUAAAACGUCCGUAGCCGGUCUGGUACAUUCGUGGGUAAAUCAACCCGCUCAACGGGUUGAAUUCUGCGAGCACGGCCAGACUUGGGACCGGGAGAGGUGUGGGGUACUCUCAGGGUAGGGGUAAAAUCCUGUCAUCCUGAGAGGACCACCUGUUGCGAAGGCGCCACACUAGAACGGAUCCGACGGUCAGGGACGAAACCUAGGGGCACGAACCGGAUUAGAUACCCGGGUAGUCCUAGGUGUAAACGCUGUGGACUUGAUGUUGGGGGCGCUCCGAGCGCUUUCAGUGUCGAAGCGAAGGUGAUAAGUCCACUGCCUGGGGAGUACGGUCGCAAGGCUGAAACUUAAAGGAAUUGGCGGGGGAGCACUGCAACCUGAGGAUUGUGCGGUUUAAUUGGAUUCAACGCCGGA